rnacentral:rRNA from 1 species
UUUACAGUAUAAAUCUUUUUUUUCUUGAAAUUUUAAUUUAUAUUUUUAGUAAGAAUACUAAAAUAAAAAAAAGGGACGAUAAGACCCUGAAAGCUUAAAAUGAUAGCUAUAAAGAUUUUUAUUUAGAAUUAUGGUGUUAUUAUUAGCUGGGGAAGUUUUUGUAUAAAAACUAUGAUUAAUUAAUACGUUGUUUUUAUGGUCCUUUAUAUAAGGAUAGUUAGAAAAAGUUACUUCAGGGAUAACAGCAUAAUAAUUUUUUAGAGCUCUUAUCGAUAAAAUUGAGUGUGACCUCGA